GCAGGUAAUGGAGAGUUCCACAAGGAACUCCUCAACACUGGAACUGCAGGGUAUAUAAACAUAGAUCUUUAACACAUAUAGAACACAGUUACCAAUACUUUAAAUGUAUGGAUAAACACCAAAAGUAUUUUUUUUUACUCCAUAGAUUUUGACAUUAAAGGAAGUGGAAUAAUACAAGUGGAAUAAUUCCAAUGAUUUAAAGCAGUAGUUCCCAAAGUGGUCCAGGUGGACCCCCAGGGGUCCACGGGAGACUCGACGGGGGUCUACGUUGGGUCUAACAAAAAAUGGGGGUCUACACUUUGUAAGCGGGGGUGAAUGAAAAUUAAUUUGGUUUCGAUAGUGAAGAACUAAGAUAUUGGCUUGACUUCUAUCACUAUAGGCAGAUAAUAUUUUGAGAAGCUCAGCGACUGUUACUUGUAAAACCCUGUAAAAGUGUAAAAAUUUGUUUCAUAUUCAGUACAACGCGUCGAGACUUGUCGUCGACGCGCCGCUGCCGGCAACCGUCCCGUCCGCAAUACUUGUUCAAACGUGUAGAGGUGCAGAAAACAUCGAUGGAAACAUCGAUACCUCGAUGUUUUGGAAAAAUGAAAAACAUCGAUGUAUUUUAAAAAACAUCGAGAAGCUCAGCAAGUUCUGCACCUCUACAAACGUGCAAAUGAAUUUGUUUAUAAAUACGAAUGUCAAGGAGAAACGUUUCUCAUUUCCGAAAUGUCAUAAGGAAAUCUGAAUCGAUAUUAGUGCCAUAAUUUGUUUCCACACUUUCUAAAAGUAAAGUGAAUCGAUAUUACCUAGUGAUUACCAGUAUCGCAAAAAUUGGUAAUUGAUACGAAACAUGACCGAAUCUAAGAAGAAGUGUCGUCAGUAUAGUGUUGAAUAUUUAAAAUUUGGUUUUCUUCCAUCACAGGCAGACAAACGGUUGCCCACAUGCAUUUUAUGCAACAAAGUUUUGGGCAAUGACUCCAUGAAACCAUCAAAGCUGGAAGAGCACCUAAGAAGGUGUCAUUCAGAUAAAAAAGAUAAAGAUUUAAAAUAUUUCCAAACAUUAAAAGAAAAAUAUGAAAAAAGACCCACCGUGCACAGUAUGUUUGCUUCAACGUCUGAAAGCAAUGAUGAUGGCUUGCGGGCAUCUUACAAUAUCUCAUUACUCAUAGCAAAAUCUGGAAAACCGCACACCAUUGGAGAACAGUUAAUUUUACCUGCUGUUGAAGAGGUCUUAAAAACUGUUCUGCACAAAUCUUCAUUAGACAUAUUCAAAAAAAAUUCCGUUGAGUAACAACACUGUACAAAGACGUAUUGAUGAAAUGAGCUCUGAUGUUGAAAGUUUCUUGUGUGAUUAUCUGCAAACAACUCAUUUUUCUAUUCAACUGGACGAGUCAACUUUACCUGGCAACGAAGCAUUAUUAUUGGCAUAUGUUCGAUUUGUUAUGGGCGAAGAAAUCCAUGAAGAGCUACUAUUUGCAAGAACUUUGAAGACGGACACUAAAGAUCGGUGGCAACAGAUGGAGCUCCUGCCAUGGUCGGGCGAUAUCGUGGGUUUAUAAGCCAUCUUAAAAGAAUUAUACCAGAGGUAACUACAAUUCAUUGUGUUAUCCACCGACAACAUCUAGUAGCG